rnacentral:misc_RNA from 1 species
ACACCUCAACUCUCAUGGCUUGCCAUGACGAGCUUGGACUUUGGGGGUCUUGCUGGCCUUUGGUCGGCUCCUCUCAAAUGAAUUAGCUUUCCAGUGUCUGGCAGCAUCACAAGUGUGAUAAAUAUCUACGCUUGUGGUUUCCUGCUGGGUAACCUUCAGCGAUGGGGGUUCGCUGGGGCUCAUAAAUGUCUCUCCUCAGCGAAGACAGUUUUGUGAAC